GACGAACGCUGGCGGCGUGCCUAAUACAUGCAAGUUGAGCGCUGAAGGUUGGUACUUGUACCAACUGGAUGAGCAGCGAACGGGUGAGUAACGCGUGGGGAAUCUGCCUUUGAGCGGGGGACAACAUUUGGAAACGAAUGCUAAUACCGCAUAAAAACUUUAAACACAAGUUUUAAGUUUGAAAGAUGCAAUUGCAUCACUCAAAGAUGAUCCCGCGUUGUAUUAGCUAGUUGGUGAGGUAAAGGCUCACCAAGGCGAUGAUACAUAGCCGACCUGAGAGGGUGAUCGGCCACAUUGGGACUGAGACACGGCCCAAACUCCUACGGGAGGCAGCAGUAGGGAAUCCUCGGCAAUGGACGAAAGUCUGACCGAGCAACGCCGCGUGAGUGAAGAAGGUUUUCGGAUCGUAAAACUCUGUUGGUAGAGAAGAACGUUGGUGAGAGUGGAAAGCUCAUCAAGUGACGGUAACUACCCAGAAAGGGACGGCUAACUACGU
rnacentral:rRNA from 1 species